rnacentral:rRNA from 1 species
GUCUAUGGCCAUGCCACCCUGAACAAACCUGAUGUCUGAUCUCGGAAGCUAAGCAAGGUGGGGCUUGGUUAGUACUUGGAUGGGAGACCACCUAGGAAGACAGGUACUGUAGGCA